GUCCGGAAGACUGUCAGAUCUGUGAGUCGGAGGGAGCCCUGGUGUCUGGGGCUGGGGCUGGGGCAGGUGGAUGGCUGGGAGUAGCGGACUGACUUACUUGGGAGAUGUCUCCCAGAAGGCCGUGAUGCUAAGGGUCUGGUGCCGUCCAGGCCCUACCCAGCUCUCACCCAGUCCUUCCACCAACAGUGACUGGCACCAUCUGUACCAGUGGUUGUGCCCGGUGCAAGGGCCGGCUGCCCACUGACUGCUGCCAUGAGCAGUGUGCCGCAGGCUGCACGGGCCCCAAGCAUUCUGACUGCCUGGCCUGCCUCCACUUCAAUCAUAGUGGUAUCUGUGAGCUGCACUGCCCAGCCCUCGUCACCUACAACACAGACACCUUUGAGUCC
rnacentral:lncRNA from 1 species